CAAAACAAAACCAAAACACACACACGAGAACUCUACUAUUCAUUCAGAAGACACCAUUAGGAAAGUGAAAAGAAAAUCCAAAGAGCGGGAGGAUAUAUUUUUCAGACAAUGGACUUAUAUCCAAAAUAUAUAAAGAACUUCUUAAAAUCAAUAAGGAAGCCAUUCAAUAAAAAAAGGGACAAGACUUGAAUAGACAUUUCACAAAAAAAGAUAUCUAAAUGGCCAAUAAACUUACAAAAAGGUGCUCUAUUUCAUUAGUCAUUAUAGAAAUGAAAAUUAAAACCACAGAUGAUGACCAAAAUAAAAAACAGAAAAUACCAAAUGUUGUUGAGAAUAUAUAAUAACCAGAAUUCUCGCACUACACUACUGAUGGGAGUAUAAACCUGUACAACUACUUUAGAAAACUGUUUGCUAAUAUCAACAAAAAAUGAAUUUACACAUAUCCAGCAAUUCCACUCCUAGUUAUAUGUCCAACAGAAACAUUUACAUAUGAUACCAAAAGACACAUAAGGAGGGAAAAAGCAACAGUAUUCAUAAAACUGGAAAUUAUUCAAAUGCCUAUCUACAGUAGAAUAGGUAAAUAAAUUGUGGUAUUUUCACAUAAUGAGACAGCAG
rnacentral:lncRNA from 1 species